rnacentral:rRNA from 1 species
GACGAACGCUGGCGGCGUGCUUAACACAUGCAAGUCGAACGGAAAGGCCCUGCUUUUGUGGGGUGCUCGAGUGGCGAACGGGUGAGUAACACGUGAGUAACCUGCCCUUGACUUUGGGAUAACUUCAGGAAACUGGGGCUAAUACCGGAUAGGAGCUCCUGCUGCAUGGUGGGGGUUGGAAGGUUUCGGCGGUCGGGGAUGGACUCGCGGCUUAUCAGCUUGUUGGUGGGGUAGUGGCUUACCAAGGCUUUGACGGGUAGCCGGCCUGAGAGGGUGACCGGCCACAUUGGGACUGAGAUACGGCCCAGACUCCUACGGGAGGCAGCAGUGGGGAAUAUUGCACAAUGGGCGGAAGCCUGAUGCAGCAACGCCGCGUGCGGGAUGACGGCCUUCGGGUUGUAAACCGCUUUCGCCUGUGACGAAGCGUGAGUGACGGUAAUGGGUAAAGAAGCACCGGCUAACUACGU